rnacentral:rRNA from 1 species
AGAGUUUGAUCCUGGCUCAGGACGAACGCUGGCGGCGCGCCUAAUGCAUGCAAGUCGAGCGACGCAUUCCUUGCCCGUAAGGGCGGGUUUGACGGAGCGGCGAACGGGUGCGUAACACGUGACCAAUCUGCCCCGAAGACCGGGAUAGCCCGGGGAAACCCGGAUUAAUACCGGAUGAUCUCACCAUGACGCAUGUCACAGUGAGCAAAGGUUCAGGCGCUUCGGGAUGAGGUCGCGGCCCAUCAGCUUGUUGGUGAGGUAACGGCUCACCAAGGCGACGACGGGUAGCUGGUCUGAGAGGACGAUCAGCCACACUGGAACUGAGAUACGGUCCAGACUCCUACGGGAGGCAGCAGCAGGGAAUCUUGCGCAAUGGGCGAAAGCCUGACGCAGCGACGCCGCGUGGGGGAUGAAUGCCUUAGGGUUGUAAACCCCUUUCACGAGGGAAGAAACUGACGGUACCUCGAGAAGAAGCCCCGGCCAACUACGUGCCAGCAGCCGCGGUAAUACGUAGGGGGCGAGCGUUGUCCGGAUUUAUUGGGCGUAAAGGGCUCGUAGGCGGCUUGACAAGUCGGCCGUGAAAACCCAGGGCUUAACCCUGGGACGCCGGUCGAUACUGUCAUGGCUAGGGUCCGGUAGAGGGGAAUGGAAUUCCCGGUGUAGCGGUGAAAUGCGC